rnacentral:lncRNA from 1 species
UUAUACAAAAAUUAACUCAAGAUGCAUUAAAGAUUUAAACGUGAGACCUAAAACCAGAAAAAUCCUAGAAGAAAACCUAGGCAACACCAUUGAGGACGUAAGCAUGGGCAAAGACUUCAUGACUAAAACACCAAAAGAAAUGGCAACAAAAGCCAAAAUUGACAAAAGGUUUCCUUAAUGACAACAAAAAAGGGAGUAAUCCUACCCACUGUAAGAGUCAUGACUCUUGAUUGCAGCUGACAGAAACUCAUGACAGCCUGCUUUAGAUGAAGGGGGAGAGAAGGACUGGAAGAAUCUUGGAGUUGGGAAUGUCACACGUAAUUGAAGGAAGAACAAGAAAACUAUAAUUCUUCCCCUGGAGGCUGGAGUUUCCAGGAUGUCAAAAUUACCUCUGCUUGGGUGAGCUAUUUCAAGCAGCUGGGAUACCUGUGUCACUCCUGCUGUCUGCCAGUGACUGCCCAGGUGUCUGCUGGUUCCUCCCCAGGAGUAGGGAGGAACCAGGUGGGCUGGCUGGGAUGGGUGGAUAUUUAAAGACCAGGCCUUGGACGCUG